rnacentral:rRNA from 1 species
AGAUUGAACGCUAGCGGGAUGCUUUACACAUGCAAGUCGAACGGCAGCGCGGACUUCGGUCUGGCGGCGAGUGGCGAACGGGUGAGUAAUAUAUCGGAACGUGCCCAGUAGCGGGGGGAUAACUACGCGAAAGCGUGGCUAAUACCGCAUACGCCCUACGGGGGAAAGGGGGGGAUCGCAAGACCUCUCACUAUUGGAGCGGCCGAUAUCAGAUUAGCUAGUUGGUGAGGUAAAGGCUCACCAAGGCGACGAUCUGGUAGCUGGUUUGAGAGGACGACCAGCCACACUGGGACUGAGACCACGGCCCAGACUCCUACGGGAGGCCAGCAGUGGGGAAUUUGGACAAUGGGGAAACCCUGAUCAGCAUCCGCGUGUGCGAUGAAGGCCUUCGGUUAGUAAGACUACGUUUGGUCGAGGUAAGAACCGGACGUACGGUCCUAACGUACGGUACCGUACGACGUA